GGUGAACGCUGGCGGUAGGCCUAACACAUGCAAGUCGAACGGCCGCACAGUAAGAGCUUGCUUCUACGGGUGGCGACGGGCGGAUGGGUGAGAAAUAGAUCAGAAUCUUCUUUUACGUGGGGGACAACGUGGGACAACUUACGCUACUACCGCAUACGUUCUACGGGUUAAAGCAGGGGAUAUUCAGACCUUUCCUGAUUGAAUGAGACGAUGCCGCAUUAGCUAGUUGGCUGGGUAAAGGCCCACCAAGGCGACGAUGCGUAGCCGGGCUGAGAGGAUGAUCAGCCACACUGGAACUGAGACACGGUCCAGACUCCUACGGGAGGCAGCAGUAGGGAAUCUUGGACAAUGGGCGAAAGCCUGAUGGAGCCACACCGCGUGAGUGAUGAAGGUCUUCGGGUUGUAAAGCCCUUUUAUUAGGGAAGAACAGCAGUAGAUGAAUCUACCGCUGUUCUGACGGUACCUAAUGAGGAAGCCACGGCUAACUUCGUG
rnacentral:rRNA from 1 species